UCCCAGAUCUGGCAUUCCAAGUUCUAGGGUCUCCCCCACCAGCUCUGACAUUCUGGGUUCCAGGACCCCUCUUAGCUCUGAUAUUCUGUUCUAAGGCCAGUCCUAGCUUUCCUGUAUCAUCUGACAAAGAAGGAAGCUCAACAACUGGAUACAGAUCCCUUGGAUCAGGACUGGAAGAUUGGGAAACUGAGGCACAAAAAAGGAAGUGGUUAACCUAAAGGCUUAGAACUAGCAUAAAGAAGAAUGGGAAUUGGAGUCCAGGCCGCUUUUCCAGGAAGAAGACAGCAAGAAUAAAGAAGCCCCAAUAAUUCUUCUUCCCAGACCCCAACAAACUUGGCUUCCUAGAACUGGGGUCACCCACGUUCCAGAAUCACAGAAUCAGUCGCGGGGUUGGAAAGCGUCUCAGAGCCCACCUAUUCCAGUGGUAUCUGAAGAAUAAUCCUCUUCCAGGUUCCUCUACCAUUUAAUCUCUGGAGAAA